UCUCCGUAGGUGAACCUGCGGAGGGAUCAUUGCAGAGUUCAUGCCCUACCGGGUAGAUUUCCCACCCUAUGUUAUUAUUACUUUGUUGCUUUGGCGGGCCGUUAGGCUCCGGCCCGACUACCGGCCCCGGCUGGUAAGCGCCCGCCAGAGGACCCAAAACCCUGAAUAUUAGUGUCGUCUGAGUACUAUAUAAUAGUUAAAACUUUCAACAACGGAUCUCUUGGUUCUG
rnacentral:misc_RNA from 1 species